rnacentral:rRNA from 1 species
GAUGAAUGCUGGCGGCGUGCCUAAUACAUGCAAGUCGAGCGAACGGACGAGAAGCUUGCUUCUCUGAUGUUAGCGGCGGACGGGUGAGUAACACGUGGAUAACCUACCUAUAAGACUGGGAUAACUUCGGGAAACCGGAGCUAAUACCGGAUAAUAUUUUGAACCGCAUGGUUCAAAAGUGAAAGACGGUCUUGCUGUCACUUAUAGAUGGAUCCGCGCUGCAUUAGCUAGUUGGUAAGGUAACGGCUUACCAAGGCAACGAUGCAUAGCCGACCUGAGAGAGUGAUCGGCCACACUGGAACUGAGACACGGUCCAACCUCCUACGGGAGGCAGCAGUGGGGAAUCUUCCGCAAUGGGCGAAAGCCUGACGGAGCAACGCCGCGUGAGUGAUGAAGGUCUUCGGAUCGUAAAACUCUGUUAUUAGGGAAGAACAUAUGUGUAAGUAACUGUGCACAUCUUGACGGUACCUAAUCAGAAAGCCACGGCUAACUACGU